rnacentral:rRNA from 1 species
GACGAACGCUGGCGGCGUGCUUAACACAUGCAAGUCGAGCGGUAAGGCCCUUUCGGGGGUACACGAGCGGCGAACGGGUGAGUAACACGUGGGUGACCUGCCUUUAGCUCUGGGAUAAGCCUGGGAAACUGGGUCUAAUACCGGAUAUGACCCUAUGGCGCAUGUUGUGGGGUGGAAAGCCUUGUGCGGCUAGGGAUGGGCCCGCGGCCUAUCAGCUUGUUGGUGGGGUGAUGGCCUACCAAGGCGACGACGGGUAGCCGGCCUGAGAGGGCGACCGGCCACACUGGGACUGAGACACGGCCCAGACUCCUACGGGAGGCAGCAGUGGGGAAUCUUGCGCAAUGGGCGAAAGCCUGACGCAGCGACGCCGCGUGAGGGAUGACGGCCUGGUGUAAC